rnacentral:rRNA from 1 species
UACGGAGGGUGCGAGCGUUGUCCGGAAUCACUGGGCGUAAAGGGCGCGUAGGUGGCCCGUUAAGUGGCUGGUGAAAUCCCGCGGCUCAACUGCGGGGCUGCCGGUCAUACUGGCGAGCUAGAGCACGGUAGGGGCAGAUGGAAUUCCCGGUGUAGCGGUGGAAUGCGUAGAUAUCGGGAGGAACAUCAGUGGCGAAGGCGGCCUUCUGGUCCAGUACUGACACUCAAGUGCGAAAGCGUGGGGAGCAAACAGG